UCCGGUUUGUCACCGGCAGUCUCCCUAGAGUCCCCACCAUUACGUGCUGGCAACUAAGGACAAGGGUUGCGCUCGUUACGGGUCGGUAACCCUUUCAGGCACCUACUUCCAGGAUGUCAAACCCAGGUAAGGUUCUUCGCUUUGCAUCGAAUUAAGCAACGCGCUCCGCCGCUUGUGCGGGCCCCCGUCAAUUCCUUUGAGUUUUAGCCUUGCGGCCGUACUCCCCAGGCGGCGAACUUAAUGCGUUAGCUGCGGCACGGAGGGCAUGACACCCCCCACACCUAGUUCGCACCGUUUACGGCCAGGACUAC
rnacentral:misc_RNA from 1 species